rnacentral:rRNA from 1 species
UCGGGAAUAUUGGACAAUGGGCGCAAGCCUGAUCCAGCAAUACCGCGUGUGUGAAGAAGGCCUGCGGGUUGUAAAGCACUUUCAGUGGGGAAGAUAAUGACGUUACCCACAGAAGAAGCACCGGCUAACUCCGUGCCAGCAGCCGCGGUAAUACGGAGGGUGCAAGCGUUAAUCGGAAUUACUGGGCGUAAAGCGUGCGUAGGCGGUUAUUUAAGUCAGAUGUGAAAUCCCCGGGCUCAACCUGGGAACU